UCUCGAACUCCCUGGUACCAGAGUUCGUAUCCAUGGAUACCAGGUGAGCUACAAGCUGGUGAAGAAUCAGCAGGCGCAGGACAGAUUCACUCAAAAUGUCACCGGGUCAAUGGCGCUCCUGGUGGUGAAGGAGGGGAACUACAGAGUCACAGUUUCAGCUUUCAACACGGCUGGCUAUGGACCUGCUGCUCAUCUUAGCACUGACACACAAAGACAAAAUGCUCUCCCGCCAGUCAGCAGCUUGUGGGUUUCCAGUUCUCUCCCGGUUAUGAAAGGCCUUCUUGUCCAAUGGGAGAACCCCAAGGUCCUGCCCUCCGUCCCGCCAGUCAGUCAUCUUGCCAUUCACUGGCGUUCCGAGACUCGUCCAUCUACUAGCCGUGGGACCACAGUGGGCAACUUCACCACCUCCACUGUCAUACAAGGUGUAAUCAAAUCCUGGUCUUCCUCUUGAUUAUGUGUU